UACGUAGGUGACAAGCGUUGUCCGGAUUUACUGGGCGUAAAGAGCGCGCAGGCGGUCGUUCAAGUCGAGUGUGAAAGCCCCCGGCUCAACUGGGGAGGGUCACUCGAUACUGAUCGACUCGAAGGCAGGAGAGGGAAGUGGAAUUUCCGGUGUAGCGGUGAAAUGCGUAGAUAUCGGAAGGAACAUCAGUGGCGAAGGCGACUUCCUGGACCAAUUCUGACACUGAGGAGCGAAAGCCAGGGGAGCAAACGGG
rnacentral:rRNA from 1 species